GGUGAGCGCGCUGGUUCUAGAUCAUUGUCCCUUCAAUCGUCCUUCGAUCGUCCAGGGAAAAGCCAGGGGAGCGAUAGAGCUCAGCUACAAGGUCUUCAACUUCACGGAAGAUCAAGAUCUCAAGCUCAAAAUCGGCUAUGAUCCUUUCAAACAGGCAAGAACAAACUUUUUUUCGUGUGAUCGAUCGAGAUUCGAGAUUUCUUUUGUUCUUGCGCAGAAGCCAUACUUGCAAUUGAGGGAGAACAAUUGGACAUUCAAUGCCGACAUAAACGGUGCCUGGAACAUCAUCUACGACCUGUAAUUCUCGAGAGCGAGAGGGAACGAACGAUUCUUUCAAUCAUCUCAUUCAUCUUAGCAGCGAAGAAUGAAAGGGAAAAUUUUUUAGAGGUCUUACUUGCGUUUCUUGGUGGCACUGGCUAGUUCUUCCUCCAAUUCUUCUUCUUCCUCCUGCUCUGGAUCGGCUACUUCCAGCGCGCAGUGAUGCCGGAGCAUGUAAUCGCCCAGUAGCUGCAUCGCUUUGCUCUUGAGAUCCACCAGCGCCGCCGAGAGCGAUGGAUUACUCUCGGAUUGGAUCGAUUGGGCCUCCGCCUCGAGCCGGAAGCUCGCCAUAGCCGUCGCCAUUCUAUCUAUCUUCUUAGCCCUAAAAAAAGGC
rnacentral:lncRNA from 1 species